rnacentral:sRNA from 1 species
AAAUGCACUUAUUUGCUUUGAGAGAUUAAUAACAGAAUUAGAAACUGAAAAAUAAAGUUGGAGAGCUUAAGAUCGUGACUGAAACCAGAUGCAGAGAUCAUCAUCUAGCGUCUUCGAUCUAAGCCAAAAAUCUGGUUGCGGACAGUACAGUCUAUAAUAUAGAGAAUCUGAUCAAAAGAUUUAGGGAUGUCGUCGUGCCUUCUUCUAUUCCUCUCUUGCCAAAUAACAUGGCUUGUGAGUUGAAAUAUAUAUCGAAGGAUGAACCUUAUGGUGCCUUUGAAAGAGGAGUCAAAGACUAGUGAAAAAAUUACACUAAAAGAGGUUGUGUAGCGCUGAUGGAGGAAUUUGUAGGUUAGAGCCUCUCAUACCUUAGCCGAGAAUUACAAAAAAAGAAUAGGUGAUUUUGGGAUUCCAAAGGGCCUUGGUAGAACAUACAAUUCGAAAUCACUCGAGCAUUCCAAAUUUUCAUUUGAUCUCAUGUAGUUAACCGAUUAUGUGUAGCCAGCAACAAAAAAA